CCUACGGGUGGCUGCAGUGGGGAAUAUUGGACAAUGGGGGCAACCCUGAUCCAGCCAUGCCGCGUGUGUGAAGAAGGCCCUCGGGUUGUAAAGCACUUUCAGUGAGGAAGAACGCCUGGUGGUUAAUACCCAUCAGGAAAGACAUCACUCACAGAAGAAGCACCGGCUAACUCCGUGCCAGUAGCCGCGGUAAUACGGAGGGUGCGAGCGUUAAUCGGAAUUACUGGGCGUAAAGCGCGCGUAGGUGGCUUGAUAAGCCGGUUGUGAAAGCCCCGGGCUCAACCUGGGAACGGCAUCCGGAACUGUCAAGCUAGAGUGCAGGAGAGGAAGGUAGAAUUCCCGGUGUAGCGGUGAAAUGCGUAGAGAUCGGGAGGAAUACCAGUGGCGAAGGCGGCCUUCUGGACUGACACUGACACUGAGGUGCGAAAGCGUGGGUAGCAAACAGGAUUAGAUACCCUUGUAGUC
rnacentral:rRNA from 1 species